rnacentral:rRNA from 1 species
GGGUAGGCGGGGUGAGAGCCUGACCGCCAACAGGGGCACUGAGACACGGGCCCCACUCCUACGGGAGGCAGCAGCCGAGAAUAUUGGUCAAUGGGGGAAACCCUGAACCAGCGACGCCGCGUGCGGGAAGAAGCCCUUCGGGGUGUAAACCGCUUUUGCCGCUGAGCAAUCCCUCACCAAUUCUGGUGAGGGAUGAGAGUAAGCGGCGAAUAAGCGGGUGCUAAUUCUGUGCCAGCAGCCGCGGUAAGACAGAACCCGCGAGCGUUAUCCGGAUUUACUGGGCGUAAAGGGUCCGUAGGCGGUCUGAAAAGUCUGACGUUAAAGCCUCUGGGCUCAACCUGGAGAGUGCGUCAGAUACUUUCAGACUAGAGGGCGGUAGAGGGAGCCGGAACUGCCGGUGUAGGGGUGAAAUCCGUUGAUAUCGGCAGGAACGCCGAAAGCGAAGGCAGGCUCCUGGGCCGACCCUGACGCUGAGGGACGAAAGCGUGGGGAGCAAAGGGGAUUAGAUACCCCUGUAGUCCACGCCCUAAACGAUGGACACUAGCUGCCUGCAGUGUCGACCCUGUGGGUGGCGAAGCUUACGCGUUAAGUGUCCCGCCUGGGGAGUACGGCCGCAAGGCUAAAACUCAAAGGAAUAGACGGGGGCUCACACAAGCGGUGGACCAUGUGGCUUAAUUCGACGACAAGCGAAGAACCUUACCAGGGCUUGACAUGCCAGUGAAACCUGCCAGAAAUGGUGGGGGUCCACAAGGACACUGGCACAGGUGCUGCAUGGUCGUCGUCAGCAGGUACCGUGAGGCGCAUGGUUAGAUCCCAAAACCUGCGCAACCCUUGCCGUAUGUUUCCCUAAACCACUUAGGGUUUAGGGUGUCAUACGGGACUGCCGGCCUUAGCCGGAGGAAGGUGGGGACGACGCCAGAUCAGCAUGGCCCUUAUGCCCUGGGCUGCACACAUGGUACAAUGCGGGCUACAAAGGGUCGCGAAGCCGUAAGGCGGAGCCAAUCCCAUCAAAAGCCCGCCCAGUUCGGAUUGAGGGCUGCAACUCGCCCUCAUGAAGCUGGAAUCGCUAGUAACCGUGGAUCAGCCACGCCACGGUGAAUAUGUUCCUGAGCCUUGUACUCACCGCCCGUCACGCCAAGCGAGCUGGGAACAGCUGAAAAUCCCUUUUGGGAUUGAAGCUGGGCUCAGUGAGAGGGGCGAAGUCGUAACAAGGCACGGGUAGGGGAACCUGCUCGUGGAUCA